rnacentral:rRNA from 1 species
GACGAGGGGUCCAAGCGUUGUUCGGAAUCAUUGGGCGUAAAGCGGGUGUAGGCGGCUCUAUAAGUCAGGAGUGAAAGCCCCGAGCUUAACUUGGGAAGUGCUUUUGAUACUGCAGAGCUUGAAUGUGGGAGAGGUUAAUGGAAUUCCAGGUGUAGUGGUGAAAUACGUAGAUAUCGUGAGGAAGACCAGUGGCGAAGGCGGGUCUCUGGACAGUUCCUGACGCUGAGGCGCGAAGGCCAGGGGAGCAAACGGG